UGUGUCUGUGUUGUGUGUAGGUGUGGUCUGUCAUGUUGGCUGGAUAACAAAGUCGACCUCCUGCUGCUCGGUGAUCUUCAUCGCUGACAGUAAGUGCUGCCUGAGACCUCCUUCAUAAGAAAACUAAAUGGAUUUAACACAGACCCUCGACUAUCUCCAGCACCAUUCAUUACACAGUGGGUAAGACGGCCAACUGGUUAUGUGUGUCUGUGUUGUGUGUCAGUGCGUUCAAUCAUGUUGACUGGAUAACAAAGUCGACCCCCUGCUGCUCGGUGAUCUUCAGAG